rnacentral:rRNA from 1 species
AGUGAACGCUGGCGGUAGGCCUAACACAUGCAAGUCGAACGGCAGCACAGUAAGAGCUUGCUCUUACGGGUGGCGAGUGGCGGACGGGUGAGGAAUACAUCGGAAUCUACUUUUUCGUGGGGGAUAACGUAGGGAAACUUACGCUAAUACCGCAUACGACCUACGGGUGAAAGCAGGGGAUCUUCGGACCUCGCGCGAUUGAAUGAGCCGAUGUCGGAUUAGCUAGUUGGCGGGGUAAAGGCCCACCAAGGCGACGAUCCGUAGCUGGUCUGAGAGGAUGAUCAGCCUCACUGGAACUGAGACACGGUCCAGACUCCUACGGGAGGCAGCAGUGGGGAAUAUUGGACAAUGGGCGCAAGCCUGAUCCAGCCAUACCGCGUGGGUGAAGAAGGCCUUCGGGUUGUAAAGCCCUUUUGUUGGGAAAGAAAAGCAGCAGGUUAAUACCCCGCUGUUCUGACGGUACCCAAAGAAUAAGCACCGGCUAACUUCGUG